rnacentral:lncRNA from 9 species
GCCGUCAAACGCUCCUACAUGUUGGAUAACUCUGAAUUUGGGCAUUUUGGUGAAUUCACAGGAGUCAUAAGAGACCAUCUGUCCAUUGGGUCGGGGGGCAGGGGACCCAGGUGAGGAAAAACAACCCUGAGUUGAACGCAAUAAAAGGCAGCAUGAUUUUCAGAUUCUCUGCACACAUGGGGAGAGCCCACAUCAGAGAAAACCCUCUUCCGGGCAGUCUGGUAACAUUCUUGGCUAAUGAGCUCAGAACAGAAUGUCCCUCGUCUGGCAUUAUCAGCGAAGAUGUGAGGGAGGGGAGGUGUGAAGAGGGUACAGGGUGUGAUCAAGCUGAAGCUGGGCAUGCUACAGAGCUGUAGGGAAGCCCCCGGGUACUUUCUGCACCUGGGGGUGGUAAGAAAUACAUAACCAAAAAUGCAUACGUUAGAGACACAACACAACCCCCACGCCCAGGACAAUUCCGUGACCAGGGGCACAGUCAGCUUCCCAUUGCCCAAGAGUGGCCCAGCCACCAGGGGGAAAACACACAGAGCCACCCCUGCACUUGCCAGAGGAGGUUGCAAAAGGUUUUCAAGAGAAAAAACUUCAUUCAUUUCCUCUCGGUUGGGCCCUAAGCUUUUAAGAUGGCUUUUGGAUAUUGCCGUUCCAGGUGAAGGAUGGGCGUGCCAGUUGGAGCAAAACUUCUCAAAGGAUGUUCAGAAGAUUUGUUCCUGGUAGCUCCUCAGCAUCUAGGACAGAGUCUGAAACAUCGUGAGUGUGCCAAACUUUGUCAAAUGAGGGAAUGAGCAAAUGUAAGACUAUAGCCAAUGUAUGCAUUGCAACCGUAGAAAACUAUCAAGCAAGUCUAAUCAGUUUUAAUUAUCAAAAUGGUUGUGCACAUGGGCAUAUGGAUAAUUACACAAUACCGACUAAGAAUAAGAAUUCGCUGGACACUAAGCAUUGUGUUAGAUGAUGUUAUGGGAAGAAAGGAGUUAUUUUUUACUUUUCCUCCAAGAAAACUAAAGCUCAGUAGAGAAGGCAGUACACAAAUGCAAACCCUGAAUACACUCAAGGGAAAAUAUCAUGAAAAUUUUCACCUAGUAAUGAACCUGACUAGGAUCCAUGAGGAUGCAGGUUCGAUCCCUGGCCUCACUCAGUGGGUUAAGGAGCCACGGUUGCUGUGAGCUCUGGCAUAGGCUGGCAACUGCAGCUCCCAUGUGACCCCUUGGCAGGGAGUUUCCAUGUGUCAUAGGUGCUGCCCCUGCCCAAAAAAAUAAAUAAAAUAAAAUAAAAUAAAAAUACAGAUUCUAAUUUAGCAGGUCUGGGUGGAAUCUGGACUCCGUUUUCUCACAAACUUGAAGGAAACAUGGACUCUGCUGGUCCAGGCCUGCACUUAGACAAAUCAGUACCUACAUAUGAUCUUUUCUCAAUUGACCAAUCUGUAACUGACAGGUGGGGGGGGGUCCCCUCAAAGGAGUGAAAUACAGGCUAUGGUGAAAGAUAAGCUCCCUCUGCCCAUUUUUACCAUAUAUCAAGGGGAAAGUCCAGAUUUUUUGAAAAAUCUUUUUUGAAGGGAACAGCAGUUGCCAAUUUUUAGGUCGUUUAUCAUUUCUUAAAAAAAAAAAAAAUUACUCAGAGAUGAAAUUGGCUUAAUCCCCAGACCUUUAAUUUAUCUAUGGUUCCCACUGGACUAACAGCUAGUUCUUAAAAUACCUUUUCAGUUUAUCUUUAACCCAGAAGCCUGGGUCUUUUCCUGGUCAUUGGCUGGCUCCCUGCUUCCUCCGCCUAAACAGUCGUCUACCCUGCUGUGGUCACUUUUCCUGCUUGCUGCUAAAGGAAUGUUAGGGAAACCAAAGCACAGAGCCUCCCACUCCCUCCAUCCCCCCUCUAGGAGGGCUUUUUGCUUUGAGAUUCCACUGAGAGGCUCCACAGGUGAAGUUGCCAGGGAAUGGAGUGCCUCCCAUCCUACUUAACAGGCAUGGCAAGGUUGGAAGGUUAAGGUGGCCUGCCCUUCAAAGCAUUUCACAAAGAUUAACUAAGACGACAAGGAGCCUCUGGCAGAGCAGAGAAGCAUGAGCUCAACAGUCACGGAGGGAAGCUGCCCUGGGCAGGAAGGGGACUGGUACUUCCACAGGCAGCAGGAAGUCUCAAGCUCAAAUUGAAUAGCAUCUCAGAAGCCGAUGUGUAGUGCCUGUGUGUGUGUGCACAUGCGUAAGAAUAUAAAUAUAAUAUACUAUGUAUGUUUUUUUAUAUGUAGUUAAUUAUAUGGGCUGUAUUGCAUCACUCCAUGAGCUGUAUAUGGAAGUCCUAACCCUCAGUAUCUUAGAAUGUGACUCUCUUUGGAGACAAAGUCUUUAAAGCGGUUAUUAAAUUUGGAGUUCCCUGGUGGGUCAGUGGAUUACAGAUCAGGCAGCCUGGGAUAUUGUUCAUGCCAUGGGAGCAUCCAAAAGGAAAGAAAAAAAAAAAAGAUGUUCUUAAAUUAAAAUGAGGCAAUUAGGAUGGGUCCUAGUCCAAUACGCUUGGUGUGCUUAUAAGAAGAGCUUAGGAUAUAGACAAGGCGCAGAGGAAAAACCUUAUGAGGACAAAGGGAGAAGACCUCCACCUGCAAGCCAAAGAGAGGGAUCACAGAAGAAACUAACCUUGCUGACAUCUUGAUCUUGGACUUCUACCCUCUAGAAUUGUGAAAAAUAAAUUCCUGUGGUGUAAGCCACCCAGUCUGUGGUAUUUUGUUAUGUCAGCUCUAGCAAACUAAUACACACACACACACACACACACACACACACUGUGGCAAGUCUGAAAAAAGACAACAUGUGUUAGAAGAUUUAUUACCAUCCCAUUACAAUAACUGAUAAAAUAAUAUUAUCUAAGACUCAAGACUUUAUGGCCACCCUCUGUAGGUAAAAACAACGCACAAACAUCUUGCCUUGUCCGUGUCCACAGAGAGAGAAAGGAGCAUAAAGCAAAUAAAAAGUCAACGGUAAGGCUGGGUGAGGACUGAGAAAUGCCACCACAUAGCUUUCUGCCAGAUCUGGGAGUGGGAGAGGGUGUUCUCUUUCCUGGAGAACUACUUCUUUAGAGUUAUUUUUCCUCUCUUGGCCAUUGGGUUCUCUUUGACUUUGUUCCAUUAAGUGGUCCAAACACACGCCUCCACUUGGCCUUGAACUGGACGCCCUCCUUGUCUUGGACUUCUUUGGACUUUGGGAGUGUUCUUCCCAGAUACUUUCCUGUGAAGUGUUGUUGUUGCAGGGGGAUUAUCCCUGUCUUGGGAUGGUUAAUCAUUUCCAAGAAUUGGCAAAUACUUUGGCCAUGGUUACACACAGAAACUGAAAUGUAAAAGUGAAAACAAAACUCCGGAAAUGAGAAGAAAGAUGACUGAAAGGAAAAUAACCUAGCUUGACCACUCUAGCUCUGGAAAAUAUGUGGCUUCAGAGGAAAAGAAAAACUUCCUCUUUUCUGUCACUGUAGUGAUGGUAAAAAUAGCCGUGUCACCAUGUCAUUAAAUGAGGAAGCCCCCAAAAUAAAUAUUUUAGAUUGAGUUAACAACUUACCAUGAGCUCUCCUGUCACUGACAGGGAAGGGAAGGGAAUUCGGAUAUAUAAAGAACCAUUUUACAUAAACCAGGGGAUUCCUAUGGCUGACCUCAUUUCAUUUUCAUCACAAUCACUUGAAGUAG